UAGAAGCAGCCAUCAUUUAAAGAAAGCGUAAUAGCUCACUGGUCGAGUCGGCCUGCGCGGAAGAUGUAACGGGGCUAAACCAUGCACCGAAGCUGCGGCAGCGAACGUAUCACUUAAAGCGAUUCAGCGGAUGACGAUUGACGGAGCGAAGCGACGUCAAAGCGUAUACAAAGUCGAGUCGGUUUAAGGAUACGUUCGUUGGGUAGGGGAGCGUUCUGUAAGCCUGUGAAGGUGGCCUGUGAGGGUUGCUGGAGGUAUCAGAAGUGCGAAUGCUGACAUAAGUAACGAUAAAGCGGGUGAAAAGCCCGCUCGCCGGAAGACCAAGGGUUCCUGUCCAACGUUAAUCGGGGCAGGGUGAGUCGACCCCUAAGGCGAGGCCGAAAGGCGUAGUCGAUGGGAAACAGGUUAAUAUUCCUGUACUUGGUGUUACUGCGAAGGGGGGACGGAGAAGGCUAUGUUGGCCGGGCGACGGUUGUCCCGGUUUAAGCGUGUAGGCUGGUUUUCCAGGCAAAUCCGGAAAAUCAAGGCUGAGGCGUGAUGACGAGGCA
rnacentral:rRNA from 1 species